GGAUGAACGCUGGCGGCGUGCUUAACACAUGCACGUCGAACGAUGAAGCUCAGCUUGCUGGGUGGAUUAGUGGCGAACGGGUGAGUAACACGUGAGUAACCUGCCCUUAACUCUGGGAUAAGCCUGGGAAACUGGGUCUAAUACCGGAUAGGAGCGUCCACCGCAUGGUGGGUGUUGGAAAGAUUUAUCGGUUUUGGAUGGACUCGCGGCCUAUCAGCUUGUUGGUGAGGUAAUGGCUCACCAAGGCGACGACGGGUAGCCGGCCUGAGAGGGUGACCGGCCACACUGGGACUGAGACACGGCCCAGACUCCUACGGGAGGCAGCAGUGGGGAAUAUUGCACAAUGGGCGCAAGCCUGAUGCAGCGACGCCGCGUGAGGGAUGACGGCCUUCGGGUUGUAAACCUCUUUCAGUAGGGAAGAAGCGAAAGUGACGGUACCUGCAGAAGAAGCACCGGCUAACUACGUG
rnacentral:rRNA from 1 species